rnacentral:pre_miRNA from 1 species
CAACUACUCCUUCUGUCCCAAAUUUCUUGUCUUAGAUUUGUCUAGAUACGGAUGUAUCUAAUACUAAAACGUGACUUGAUACAUCCGUAUCUAGACAAAUCUAAGACAAGAAUUUUGGGAUGGAGGGAGUACUUU